CACAAAAAAGAAAGGGGAAAUUCUAUAUAAAUUUUAUUUAGUUAAAUAUUUCUUGCUUUAGAGAUAAUUCUGAAUAUAAAACUAUGAAAUUAAUUUUCAGGCGUGUAAACCUUUCUGUUUUGCAGCAUGUAAGGCAGUUGUCAUUUCAGCAAUAUCGCGAUUUAAACUCUUUUACCUCACGUAAUUUAACACUAAAGGAACAAUCUGUGACUCUGUUUAGAAAACACAGACAAACUCCAAGAUUGCAUUUGAAGUUCUCAACCAAUACAGGAAAGUGCUCUGAAUUUGAAACUCUUUCAAAGUGCUCCCCAACUGAAUUUCUAAACAUUCUUCAACAAGAACAUAUUGAACGUUGUUUUAUUUCAAAUUUAGAUGGACAAGUAAAAUGUUCCCACAAACUUUUGAGUGAAUUAUUCCCAACAAAUCAGUUAAAUGGUCUGGAAUAUGAACAUGAUGCUAUUUUCUUUGAAAAAGGACACCGAACUGGAUGCUUGUUGUCAGUUUUCCUAUGGAAAACAAAUCGUGGACAAGGAAUUGGGGGUGUCGAUUUUCGUCCUAAAACAAGUAUGGCAGAGUUAAUUAAGCAUGGCUGCAGAUUUUCAAAAGCAUUAGGGGUUAAAUGUGCUCUUGCUGGGAUGUGGGUUGGUGGAGGCAAAGGUCUGAUUUCUUUCCCUGAUGACACAGGCACAUUCAUUGACCCUGAAUUCCGCAGACAGGCUUUCAUGGAUUUUGGAGACUUUUUGUCAUCAUUGAAUGGUUGCUUUAGUAAG